rnacentral:rRNA from 1 species
UACGGGAGGCAGCAGUAGGGAAUCUUCGGCAAUGGACGAAAGUCUGAACCGAGCAACGCCGCGUGAGUGAAGAAGGUUUUCGGAUCGUAAAACUCUGUUGUUAGAGAAGAACAAGGACGUUAGUAAUCUGAACGUCCCCUGACGGUAUCUAACCAAAAGGCCACGGCUAACUAAU